rnacentral:rRNA from 1 species
CGUGCCAGCAGCCGCGGUAAUACGGAGGGUGCGAGCGUUAAUCGGAAUUACUGGGCGUAAAGGGCGCGUAGGCGGUCGCGCAAGUCGGGUGUGAAAGCCCCGGGCUCAACCUGGGAAUUGCAUUCGAUACUGCGUAACUAGAGUCUGGUAGAGGGAAGCGGAAUUCCGCAUGUAGCGGUGAAAUGCGUAGAUAUGCGGAGGAACACCAGUGGCGAAGGCGGCUUCCUGGACCAAGACUGACGCUGAGGCGCGAAAGCGUGGGGAGCAAACAGGAUUAGAUACCCUGGUAGUCCACGCCCUAAACGAUGAGGACUAGACGUUGGGGGGAUAAAACCCUUUAGUGUCGCAGCUAACGCGUGAAGUCCUCCGCCUGGGGAAUACGGCCGCAAGGUUGAAACUUAAAUGAAUUGACGG